rnacentral:rRNA from 1 species
UACGUAGGGGGGCAAGCGUUGUCCGGAUUUAUUGGGCGUAAAGAGCGUGUAGGCGGCUUGGAAGGUCCGUUGUGAAAACUCGAGGCUCAACCUCGAGACGCCGAUGGAAACCACCUGGCUAGAGUCCGGAAGAGGAGAGUGGAAUUCCUGGUGUAGCGGUGAAAUGCGCAGAUAUCAGGAAGAACACCAAUGGCGAAGGCAGUUCUCUGGGACGGUACUGACGCUGAGACGCGAAAGCGUGGGGAGCGAACAGG